rnacentral:rRNA from 1 species
GACGUAGGGCGCGAGCGUUGUCCGGAUUUAUUGGGCGUAAAGAGCUCGUAGGCGGCUCGUUGCGUCGGCUGUGAAAACCCGCAGCUCAACUGUGGGCUUGCAGCUGAUACGGGCGGGCUGGGAUUCGGUAGGGGAGACUGGAAUUCCUGGUGUAGCGGUGAAAUGCGCAGAUAUCAGGAGGAACACCGGUGGCGAAGGCGGGUCUCUGGGCCGAGAUUGACGCUGAACGGCGAAAGCUAGGGGAGCAAACGGG